UACGGGGGGGGCAAGCGUUGUUCGGAAUUACUGGGCGUAAAGGGCUCGUAGGUGGCCAACUAAGUCAGACGUGAAAUCCCUCGGCUUAACCGGGGAACUGCGUCUGAUACUGGAUGGCUUGAGUGUGGGAGAGGGAUGCGGAAUUCCAGGUGUAGCGGUGAAAUGCGUAGAUAUCUGGAGGAACACCGGUGGCGAAGGCGGCAUCCUGGACCAUUACUGACACUGAAUAGCGAAAGCCAGAGGAGCAAACGGG
rnacentral:rRNA from 1 species